GUGUAUUCAUUACAGAACAGACCAUGUGACUGCAGUCAAAGCACUGAGUCACCGUGCUGCUAAAGUAUCAUGCAGCACAAUGUCAAGUAUUAAACUCUUUUCAGAUCAUCCAGUAACAUUUUCUACAUGAGAAUAUUUUGUGAAAAGACACGCUGAUUCAUAAUGAAUCAUGUGACUGAAUGUGCAGUAUCAGGGUGCCAUCUCCUACCAUCCUAUGAGUGUGUCACAAUAAACAGAGAGGCAUUAAGUCAUGGUUUCAAACUUGCUUGAUGUAGAAAUACCAACUUCCAUUGUUUUCUGUGAAAUUGUGUCAAACAGGAAAAUUGAAUCCGCAGGAAAAUCAUAAAGAGGCACUGGUUUUGGCCAUGUCAUAGGGUGAAGUGUUCCCCCUUAACCCCUUAAGGACACAGCACAGUAGGCAAGACAGCGGUUUCAAAGAACAGGCCUUGCCAUGGACGACAAAAGAAGUUAAGUGCACAUGCUCAGCUUCAAGUCCAGAGGUUGCCUUUGGGAGACAGACGUAAGAGUGCUGCCAGCAGUGCUGCAGAGGUUAAAGGGGUGGGCCAAUCUGUCAGUGCUCAGACCAUACACCUCAUACUCCAUCAAAUUGGUCUGCAUGGCUGUCAUCCCAGAAGGAUGCCUCUUAAAGGAAUACUAUAUUGUCCUAACAGUGGCAUAUGGCUCUGUAUGGCAACAGUUUAACGGAUGAGUCAUGAGCUCUUCAAUAGCUUUCAUGAUGUAUCUGUUUAAUUGAUUCCAAUAUAGCCUAUGAGAGAUUGAUGUGUUAAAAAGAUAACAAACAGUGGCAUUCCACUCAUCUGUUUAACAAGUACACCAUGAAAAAGCUUGCCAUGUAUCCAGUGAACGACUCCUAUAUUAAUCUAUGUGUAACUGAAGCUGGUGCUAUAAAAGGGCCCUGCCAUUUCUUAAAGGUCUAUGAAAUGCAAUCCGAUCAGUUUCUCCCUGUGUAGCAUUAUUCAUGUAUCACUGCUUUGGGUUAGCUAGGCAAAAUCUACCUUUUCAGCAGGCAGGGAAGAUUAAGGAAAAGAAAAACAAAUGAGGGUCCAUAGCAAAUCCAGUGCCUUUCCACAGAUAAUUCUGCCCGAGGCAUCAAGUCAAUGGAACAGACUGCUCUCUACAGAAAUAACUCACAAGCGCUGUAAUACACUGGUGUGUCAACUGCUAUUAAAGACAAAUGGCUCUCUCAGCAAUAACAAUAUCCUGUUUUCAGAACAUUGCUCCAACUAUGAAGUGAGGAAUAAUUAUAAACAGCCAGUAAUGAAGUUUUCCUCCCAUUAGACACUGAUCAGUAUCAUCAAGACAAGCACAAAAUCUAGACUGAUACCUUAUAGUCAGCAUCUUUAUGACAGACACAGGACUUU